GUGGAUAAACUCGGGGGACUGCUGACUAUAACCAUUUCUCAAAACAGAGGAAGGUUGCGGCAAUAACAGGUCUGUGAUGCCCUCAGAUGUCCCGGGCUGCACACGUGCUACAAUGAGUGGCGCAAUGUGCUAAUGUUUUAAGGGAUAAGCGUGCGGCCAGUAGAACGUCGGCAAUUGCCCUGGCGUCUUCUACCGCACGAUUAUCAGCCUUCCCUUAACAGGGCGGGCAACCUUUUCAAAAUACCGGUUUGAUGUUAAAGUAUAGAGUCGUUUUUUUUGGAUGGUGGUUUACGAACCAAUACCAUCCGCAACUGCUCGCGAGUUUGUGGUUCUGGUGACUCAUGGUGGGGACCGAUGUUUGUAAUUGUUUGUCGCGUGUCAACUAGGAAUGCCUUGUACUGUCGAUUC
rnacentral:rRNA from 1 species